rnacentral:rRNA from 1 species
GACGAACGCUGGCGGCGUGCUUAACACAUGCAAGUCGAACGGAAAGGCCCUGCUUUUGUGGGGUGCUCGAGUGGCGAACGGGUGAGUAACACGUGAGUAACCUGCCCUUGACUUUGGGAUAACUUCAGGAAACUGGGGCUAAUACCGGAUAGGAGCUCCUGCUGCAUGGUGGGGGUUGGAAAGUUUCGGCGGUUGGGGAUGGACUCGCGGCUUAUCAGCUUGUUGGUGGGGUAGUGGCUUACCAAGGCUUUGACGGGUAGCCGGCCUGAGAGGGUGACCGGCCACAUUGGGACUGAGAUACGCCGCAGACUCCUACGGGCGGCAGCAGUGGGGAAUAUUGCACAGUGAGCGGAAGCCUGAUGCAGCAACGCCGCGUGCGGGAUGACGGCCUUCGGGUUGUAAACCGCUUUCGCCUGUGACGAAGCGUGAGUGACGGUAAUGGGUAAAGAAGCACCGGCUAACUACGUG